AUGAGUGAGCGAGAAAGUGAGUGAAAGACCGGAAAAAGUGAGCCUGUGCAUCAAUAUAGAAAGAAAGAGGACAAGAGACUGACUCCCUCAUCAGAGGCUCCCUGGGAAGUCCAGAUCCCUGUUGUCAGGACUUGUCUGCGUUGGAUCCCCUCCAGCAGAACAAGCCUGUCGGUUGCAGCUCGAACUCUCUCUGUAGGCAGAGUUUCCUCUUUCUCAUGAAACAACAGCGAUUCAUUCCCUCCGUGGGAAUUUCCCUAGCUGGUUAACAUCUCCCAUUUAUUCCACCUAGCUGAGCUGAAGGUUUUUGUUUCAGGAGAGAAUUAAAGCCAUUUUGAUUGGAAUAUAUGCUAUUUUCAGUUUCAUUCCUCUCCCCAUGACUUCCUUAUUGCCAGUGACGUGUGGACAGGACAGGCGGACUUUGCCGUGCCUCCGUGUGCGACUACCUUGAGCAGCAGUUUAAGGGACUUUGCAGGGAAAAUGCCGUGCAGUGAGGUGUAGGGGAUUGUCUGCAGCAGGACGGCCCCCAGUGGAUCGGAGCUGAGGGAUGUGGUGCUCCUCCAGCAGCUCUCUCAUGAGGUUUUCUCUGUACUUUUGCUCCAAGGCAUAGCGAUUGGUCUCCUCUACUAUGUCUCCCACCAGCUCCUCUGUCAGAAACAGCUUGAAGCACUCUGCCACAGAGGGAAAUGGCAAGGGGCUUUUGCACUCCAGACUGGAACUCAUCAAAGCAAACAGCAGGGUCAGGAGGACUGAAAUGGCUGGCGGCCUUCCAGCUACCACAGACUUCCUGUACUUCAUCCACUGCCGGUCUGCCUCCAUCACCAUCAGCAUCUUCAAAGUGACCUGGUACUUCAUCAGUGGACAAGGGGUCCUCAGAUUCAGGGUUCUCAAUGGCUACAAGGUUUGGGGGCAACUCCUCACUUUCACUAUCACUGUCAGAAUCGUAUUACUGACUUUCAUACUCUGACUCAUUGUCAGAAUUUAUAAAACAAAUAAUUUCCGCAUUUGUGAGUCUCUUUUUGAAAGACAUUGCGAAAGCUACAGCUUAGCUCACGAGCUACACACAUAAAUAACAACACUGAAUGGCUCAGAGUGGGAGUGAGAGGUUACGUGAUUGACUGCAUGCACGCGCCACUUGUAUCAAUAAAUCACUGUCAGAAACGGUUUUGUUUGGUAAUUAUUUAUUUAUUUAUUUACUGUUUUAUUCACCUUUUCAAGUACUGGUGACAAAUCAUGCAUUCUUUCAUAGAUUACAAUGGACACAUAUUAUGUGUGUAAAAUACUUUUUUUAAUGAUUGUACUGAUUAUGAUGAGUUAAGCUAAUUCUAGCUAUGUGUGGAGCCAUGUUUGUUGACAUACAGUGCAUUCUGGGUUUCACGUCUGUCGGACCGAAGAUUUUUCAAGUAAACUUCCAGAAGUGAAUGAUGGGAUGUGAAGGAUGGUAGACAACACACUCCCUUCAACAUGAAUACUAUGAAUAGACCAAACUCAUCUUGUCUCCUCCCAUAAUCUUUGGUUGAUGCAAAAAAACACGGCGGCACGCACAAACUACCCAUCGUCAGGUUAACUUUCGAUUUCUAGAAACCAUUUUACUCAAUUGUUUUGAUCAAUGGUGAGCUCACUCAUGAUGUGACUAAUUAUGCUGUAGCUACUUCUGUGAAUGUCUGAACAUUGCAUC